rnacentral:tRNA from 1 species
GGCGUAGCGCAGCUGGAUAGCGCGUCAGACUCCGACUCUGAAGGCCGUGGGUUCGAAUCCCAUCGUCUA